UACGUAGGUGACAAGCGUUAUCCGGAUUUAUUGGGCGUAAAGCGCACGCAGGCGGUCUAUCAAGUCUGACGUGAAAUCCCUCGGCUCAACUGAGGAAGUGCAUCCGAAACUGGCAGGCUUGAGUACUAAAGAGGGUCGCGGAAUUCCCGGUGUAGAGGUGAAAUUCGUAGAUAUCGGGAGGAACACCGGUGGCGAAGGCGGCGACCUGGGUAGAUACUGACGCUGAGGUGCGAAAGCGUGGGGAGCAAACAGG
rnacentral:rRNA from 1 species